CGCCAGUGGUGAUUCCGAAAGAAACUUGAGUGCGGCGUGGACAUGGGGAAACAAAAGAAAACAAGGAAGUAUGCGACCAUGAAGCGAAUGCUUAGUCUCAGAGAUCAGAGGCUUAAAGAAAAGGAUAGACUAAAACCUAAAAAGAAAGAAAAGAAAGAUCCCAGUGCACUCAAAGAAAGAGAAGUCCCCCAACACCCCUCCUGCUUAUUCUUCCAAUAUAACACACAGCUGGGCCCACCUUACCACAUCCUGGUUGAUACCAACUUUAUCAACUUUUCCAUUAAGGCCAAACUGGACUUAGUGCAGUCAAUGAUGGACUGUCUCUAUGCCAAGUGUAUCCCUUGUAUAACUGAUUGUGUAAUGGCUGAAAUAGAAAAAUUGGGGCAGAAGUAUAGAGUGGCUCUAAGGAUCGCCAAGGAUCCAAGAUUUGAACGAUUACCAUGCACACACAAAGGAACCUAUGCAGAUGACUGCUUAGUACAGAGAGUAACUCAGCACAAGUGUUACAUUGUGGCCACAGUUGACCGGGACCUUAAAAGAAGAAUCAGGAAGAUCCCUGGAGUUCCCAUCAUGUAUAUUUCUAACCAUAGGUACAACAUUGAGCGGAUGCCAGAUGAUUAUGGAGCCCCUCGGUUCUAAUACUUAAAGACAAAGUUCCUCUGCUUUCCUUCAACCAGCUUUCUCUGUUGCCAGUUUAUUAGACAUGGUACAGCCUGAGUCAUUGCUCCACUUACCCAUUUGCUUUGUUACAAAAGGAAAUUUAUGCUACAACAUGCACAAACUUCAAGGACAUUAUGCUAAAUUAAAUAAGCCAGUCAUAAAGGACAAAUACUGUAUAAUUCCACUCAUGAAGUAGCUAAAAUAGAGACUAAGGUAAGCAGGAGCAGAGGAGAAGAGGGAGGGGAAUUAGUGUUUAGUGGGUAUAGAAUUUCAGUUUUGCAAGAUGAAAAAAUGCAAGAGAUUUGUUGUACAACAGUGUAAAAGUACUUCACACUACAACCUGUACCCUUAAAAUGAUAAAGAUGGUAAAUUUAAUGUGGUGUGCUUUUUACUACAAUAAAAAUACUUAUUACGAGCCCUGGCCAGUUUGGCUCA